CUCUCUACCCACAUUGCUGUAGGUUCAGAACUGGAACUAUUGCCAGAAUCCUGGAGCCACAUGCCCUCCUCAUCCCCUGUUUUGUGAAUACCUAGAAAGAACAGCUCAAGUUUUCUCAAAGCUAAGGACACAGAUGACACAGUUCAGAUGAACCCAAAAUACAAAGUGAAACUGGAGUGGUACCAACCAAAACAAACUGAAAUCAAAGGAAGUGUUCAUAAAACCCCAG